rfam:Homo sapiens chromosome 6 genomic contig, GRCh38 reference assembly alternate locus group ALT_REF_LOCI_3.
GCUGGGCGUGGUGGUGCACGCCUGUAAUCUCAGCUACUCAGGAGGCAGAGGCAGGAGAAUCGCUUGAACCCGGGAGGUGGAGGUUGCAGUGAGCCGAGAUCGUGUCACUGCCCUUCAGCCUGGGCGACAGAGCGAGACUCUGUCUCAA